UACAGAGGGUGCAAGCGUUAAUCGGAAUUACUGGGCGUAAAGCGCGCGUAGGUGGUUUGUUAAGUUGAAUGUGAAAUCCCCGGGCUCAACCUGGGAACUGCAUCCAAAACUGGCAAGCUAGAGUAGGGCAGAGGGUGGUGGAAUUGCCGGUGUAGUGGUGAAAUGCGUAGAGAUCGGCAGGAACACCCAGGGAGAAAUCAGCCGCCUGGGCAAGUGCUGACGCUGAGGUGCGAAAGCGUGGGGAGCGAACCGG
rnacentral:rRNA from 1 species